rnacentral:rRNA from 1 species
CCUACGGGCGGCAGCAGUGGGGAAUAUUGCACAAUGGGGGAAACCCUGAUGCAGCGACGCCGCGCGAGUGAAGAAGUAUUUCGGUAUGUAAAGCUCUAUCAGCAGGAACGAGACAAGACGGUACCUGACUAAGAAGCCCCGGCUAACUACGUGCCAGCAGCCGCGGUAAUACGUAGGGGGCAAGCGUUAUCCGGAAUCACUGGGUGUAAAGGGAGCGUAGACGGCUGAGCAAGCCUGAAGUGAAAGGCGGGGGCCCAACCCCCGGACUGCUUUGGGAACUGUACGGCUGGAGUACAGUUGAGGUAGGCGGAAUUCGUGGUGUAGCGGUGAAAUGCUUAGAUAUCACGAAGAACUCCGAUUGCGAAGGCAGCCUACUAAACUGCCACUGACAUUGAUGCUCGAAAGUGUGGGUAUCAAACAGGAUUAGAUACCCGGGUAGUC